CGGAAGGUCGACACGUUUCGUUCGCACUCUUUGACAACUGAAUACUCUGCAAUCGGUAGUUCUUUGACCACACACACGCAGUGCAGUGGAAAUGUAAACACUUGGUCAAGCUACUAAGGGCGUACGGUGAAUGCCUUGGCGCUAACAGUCGAUGAAGGACGUGGCAAGCUACGAAAAGCCUCGGGGAGCCGCAAGCAGGCUUUGAUCCGGGGGUGUCCGAAUGGGGAAACCCACUCUGGGUUGUACCGGAGUAUCCGCAUCUGAAUACAUAGGGUGCGGAAGGCAACGCGGGGAAGUGAACCAUCUCAGUACCCGCAGGAACAGAAAACAAGACAGUGAUUCCGCUAGUAGCGGCGAGCGAACGCGGAAGAGCCCAAACCAGGGGACAUGCUCCCUGGGGUUGUAGGACCUAUCAGGCCGUAAGGCCGCCGAGUGAUCAACCAGAUCGAUAGUCGAACCCUCUGGAAAGUGGGACCAUAGCAGGUGACAGUCCUGUAGGCGAAAUCGAACUGGCUCGGUGGGUAGGCACCUGAGUACCGCGGGACACGUGAAAUCCCGUGGGAAUCUACGAGGACCAUCUCGUAAGGCUAAAUACUCGUUAGCGACCGAUAGUGAACCAGUACCGUGAGGGAAAGGUGAAAAGCACCCCUGUGAGGGGAGUGAAAGAGUACCUGAAACCGUAUGCCUACAAGCAGUCGGAGGGCUAUACAGUGAGCAAUCCUGCACGCCUGACGACGUGCCUUUUGCAUAAUGAGCCGGCUAGUUA
rnacentral:rRNA from 1 species